GACCAUGCACGCCGGGCUGUCUUGUUUAUCCUUGGCUGUUAGGAUGAGGAAGAAGGAUUUCAGCUGACUCCUACUUGUCCUCUGCGGACGGGAGCUGUGCUCUGCAGCCAGCUGGGCAAGAGCUCACAGAGGCAGCAGGGCAGGGUGGCUUUUGUUGCUCCCACCGUACGUGCCAGCAGUUGGCCGCGUUGGAAGCUGGACGGGCUGACAAACCCUCUCGCUGUGUCUCUUGGCAGCAAUAGGAGUGGCCGACGUGUACAGCAGGGACUAAAGCAUGACUUGAUAAACCUGUUAGUCGUCCGGAUUUUUAUCCUGUUGCUGAAAGCUGCACACACGAACCAUGGGAGCGGGAGAGGUCCGUAUCGAAGAUGAUUUUCAAGGUCAACAUUGGAUAACUUAAGAUAGAUGCAGUGUGCUAAGGACAUAGACGCAUCCUCCCUGGGUCCUGCUGAGCCAUCUGGAGAGGCUGCUGCUCUUGCACAGCUGCUCUGCUACUUCCCACCCCACAAACUCACUCCCAGGCAGACUGAAUGGGAUGUGCCCAGACAUUUUCAAAUAGAUGUGAUCUCAGUGCUGAAGAGCUUGGGCCGACACAGGCACCUUGAUCUGCCCGUACGUUCAGAGGUGACCUCUGAAAUGUAUCUCUGCGGUGGUGGGAUGUCCCACGCGCCUGCCGGCUCUGCAUUGCACCAUUUUCUAUGUCUUGGCGCUUCACUCCCCUUUAUGCUUGGCUUGUAUAAGGAACUAUGCAACAUAGCAGCCUGGGGGAUGGGCAGGAAGAAGUGACACUCUGAUUGACCAUUUUACAUAAUCUUUAACAAUAGAAGGGGUUUAGUGACUUGGUACAGCCUGUACUCAACAUAAAACCCAGUCUGUUAUCUAGAAGUGCUUAGAUGGCGAGAUAAACUGUUAAUGCUAGUGGAGGAACAUUACUAAAUAAGAAUACAAUGAUGAUAUUUUUUUUCCCCACUUCCACUCUUUUUUCCUUAUUUAAAAUGUUCCCUUGAGCAUUACCUGAUAGACUUGAAUCCUGCAUCAGGUCAUUGUUUUGAUUGGACAGGCUGAGAUCUUUUCCUUAUUUUAGCUGAUGCUAAAAUUGCAUUUUUUUCCUUCUUUUCUAAGUAACUCAAGAUAUAAGCUAACCAAAACACACAUGUGUUCCAAUCUGAUAGAAAGCAGCUUUUACAUCCUAAGAAGUAAACCCUUGUUCCAGAUUACAGGGAUAUGUAUUAUCUAGUGAUAUUAAUACUUAAGAAAAAACUUUAUAUAAUGAAAAUUUCCUCCUUUUUUUUUGCUGAAACUCUUGCUGAACUAGCAGCUGUUGUACUCCAU